UACGUAGGGUCCGAGCGUUGUCCGGAAUUACUGGGCGUAAAGAGCUCGUAGGUGGUUUGUCGCGUUGUUCGUGAAAACUCACAGCUCAACUGUGGGCGUGCGGGCGAUACGGGCAGACUAGAGUACUGCAGGGGAGACUGGAAUUCCUGGUGUAGCGGUGGAAUGCGCAGAUAUCAGGAAGAACACCCGUGGCGAAGGCGGCUCUCUGGAACGCAACUGACGCUGAGACGCGAAAGCGUGGGGAGCAAACAGG
rnacentral:rRNA from 1 species